rfam:Glossina fuscipes fuscipes unplaced genomic scaffold Scaffold142, whole genome shotgun sequence.
UUUUAGUAUGUAGGCGCCAUGGAUGGGGAAUCGUGCCUGCUGCUAGUAAGAGCUAGCAGUAUCUCUUGAAGAUUU